AUUGAACGCUGGCGGCAUGCCUUACACAUGCAAGUCGAACGGCAGCACGGGUGCUUGCACCUGGUGGCGAGUGGCGAACGGGUGAGUAAUACAUCGGAACAUGUCCUGUAGUGGGGGAUAGCCCGGCGAAAGCCGGAUUAAUACCGCAUACGAUCUACGGAUGAAAGCGGGGGACCUUCGGGCCUCGCGCUAUAGGGUUGGCCGAUGGCUGAUUAGCUAGUUGGUGGGGUAAAGGCCUACCAAGGCGACGAUCAGUAGCUGGUCUGAGAGGACGACCAGCCACACUGGGACUGAGACACGGCCCAGACUCCUACGGGAGGCAGCAGUGGGGAAUGUUGGACAAUGGGCGAAAGCCUGAUCCAGCAAGGCCGCGUGUGUGAAGAAGGCCUUCGGGUUGUAAAGCACUUUUGUCCGGAAAGAAAUCCUUGGCCCUAAUACGGUCGGGGGAUGACGGUACCGGAAGAAUAAGCACCGGCUAACUACGUG
rnacentral:rRNA from 1 species